AUGGUCUCCUCCUCCCCAGAGAAAGGAAAUCAAUCAUAUCUCACAAAUUGGAGCAAGGAAUUUAGGAAAUUGAUCUGGUGCGCUCACGCCAUGGAAUCUCUCCUCCUCCUCCCAUGGAAAAAACAAACAAAUCUCUCUCAAAUUGGAGCAACCAAGAUGGGGAAUAGAUCAGUCCUAGGAUUCAAUCCUAGGUUUGCUGACGUACGCUCUUUGGGCACUUCGUGGAGAUCGCGACGGGGCAGAACCAAGCCCAUGCCCUCAAAAUCCCUCAAAAAAGUCAUCUUCUCCACGUCUCUUACUCUCCCUGUAAAAAAACAAUCGUGCUCCAUAGUCUCUCCUCCUCCCCACGUUCUCUCCUCCCCAUGGUCUCCUCCUCCCCAGAGAAAGGAAAUCAAUCAUAUCUCUCAAAUUGGAGCAAGGAAAUUAGGAAAUUGA
rnacentral:rRNA from 1 species